AUUGAACGCUGGCGGCAGGCUUAACACAUGCAAGUCGAACGCCCCGCAAGGGGAGUGGCAGACGGGUGAGUAACGCGUGGGAAUCUACCUAGUUCUACGGAACAACAGAGGGAAACUUCUGCUAAUACCGUAUACGCCCUAAGGGGGAAAGAUUUAUCGGAAUUAGAUGAGCCCGCGUAAGAUUAGCUAGUUGGUGGGGU
rnacentral:rRNA from 1 species